rnacentral:tRNA from 1 species
GGGAAAGUGGCUCAGGGGUAGAGUGCUUGCCUUGCAUGCAUGAGACCCUGGGUUCAAUUCCUCAGCACCG